UCUAAAAGGCCUCUCCACCUCGCCUCGGUUCCAUGGGAACCUGUGGGCAGCUAAUCCCUCCUUUGGUUGGAGAGGGCUUCUCCAAACAAAUCAUCCAGCUCUAAGACUCACUGCUCCUCAAGUGGGCUCCUGGCUCUCUUUGCCAAGCCUAGCCAAAAAAACUCUCUUUUCUCAUAUGCUACACAUAAAACAGCUACCUACCGUGAGGCAAAUCCCCUCGUCUCUGUCUCUUUUCUUUUAAGAGCAAGGGAAGGAGAAAGGAAUGGGGUGUGGAUAAGCCGAACCAGCAGGAGACUGUCAAGUUAAAGAACCAAGAUGACCUGUUUUGGAAGUGGGGCUCUCCUCAACCUGCCUGACUGACUGACGCAGUGGAAUUCAUCCCUGACUUUCCAGCAAGGAUCCCGUUUCUGGUGUGGAAGAUCUCAGCCAAAGAUGGACUCAUGGGUGAGGGAGUGUACUCUUGACACUGGUGUCCACUAAGGCUUGGUGCACACUGGACUAUGUAGGAAAAGAAGAAGGUGCCAUGAUUAAACAUGCAGCUGUCUGUCACCACCCCACUGCGGAGAUCGAAUGAACAGCUACCAAGCAGCUCGCUGUUCCAUCCAGCUCUGGCAGGAUGACCGCUUGGCAGGAUGGUGUGCAGAGGCUUUAGGUUGUAUUGGACGAUAUCGGGUGUGGUUUUCAGUGAGUUCAGCCAGCUGUUAUAGACAGAGGGGUUGGAUUGGCCUUGAAAGAGGACAUCGACUCCAUCAACGUUUCCUCCGCUCACCUCUGUCUCACGCUCAUUAAAUACGCUGCUGAAACUGUGACCUGAACCCAGCUUCUUCUUCUCUGCCUCACAGUGUUUUGUCAUGGCUUUAAUA